CUUGAGCUGUGUCCGUGUGAUCUAUUGAUCUUCAGCGGCAACAGCUUGAUACACAUGGUGCAUGCCCAGUGCUUGGGAAUUGGAGAGCACAGUUCUGCUUGGGGCUGGGUACAGAGCAAAGCAGCUGCGUGGGAUGGAUGAAGAUCCAGCCCACAUGGGAUCCUGAAACCUCUGUUCUGAUGCAGCAGUGCUGUGUGCCUUUCCCACUCGUCCAACAGUGACCUGCUACCAAAGGUUUCACUACUUCCCCACUUCCUCAGUUCAGGCAUUCUUCCCUUUUUGUACAAUGGAAGGAUUAAACCAUUUCUCUCUUGAUUCUCAGACAGGAGAUCAACAAAGUU